rnacentral:rRNA from 1 species
UACGAAGGGGGCUAGCGUUGCUCGGAAUCACUGGGCGUAAAGCGCACGUAGGCGGAUUGCUAAGUCAGGGGUGAAAUCCUGGAGCUCAACUCCAGAACUGCCUUUGAUACUGGCGACCUUGAGUCCGGGAGAGGUGAGUGGAACUGCGAGUGUAGAGGUGAAAUUCGUAGAUAUUCGCAAGAACACCAGUGGCGAAGGCGGCUCACUGGCCCGUUACUGACGCUGAGGCGCGAAAGCGUGGGGAGCAAACAGG